GAACAUCAAGUACGAUUUUCUGGACUUAGAAAGGAAAUUUUUUUUUACGUUUUUGAUGUGGCAUGUCGGAUCCGGCCAUAACUUCUGAGCCGGGUUUGGGGUGCUACAAUUUAGAUAAAAGAAGAUCAACCACCGAUUAUGUAUUUACACUUGCUGGAGGAACAAUAAGUUGAAAGUCUACACUGCAGUCUACAGUUGCAUUGUCAACCACAGAAGCCGAAUACAUGGCUGUAGCAGAGACUGUAAAGGAAGCUAUUUGGUUACAAGAUAAUCCCACAAAUAUGAUGACCAAUGUGGUAACAACAACCAAGUAUCGUUGACAAAGGCAGGAAGAAUUGAGUGAAGAUAAGAUUAUCCUAAUCAAAUUUUCAAGGUGGAGAUUAUUGGCAAUCAUCCAUAUUUUGAAAAGACAAAGAUAUGAGUAUCAAAAUGUUGGCACUAGAAAUCUGAGAUUUAAGGCACCAAGAGUGGAAUUGAGAUUUGGCAUGAGAUAAUUGAAAAUUUUGGUCCCUAAUUGUAUAUUGACUUUGCUAGUUGAUCCUUGAACCUCCACUAUAAAUAGGCCUAACCAUUUCUCAUAUUUUAUCAACCCACAUUUGCCAUUCUCUACUUAAGGCAUUUUUCUCUCUCUUUAUAAAUUUUCACUUGUAUUUUGGAGAGAAAUAUAUUUGGUAGUGCCCGAGGACGUAGACAAAAUUUGCUGAACCUUGUUAAAAUACUAGUGUUCUUUAUUGUAUUAUUUUGCAUAUUUUGUGAGUGUAAUUGUUGUGAUUUAUUGUGCUAUUAAAUUACGAUAAAGGGAUAUUCUGGCUAGGAAAGACCUGGUACUUAAGCGAUCUUUAUGAUCCACCUCUCUUUCCUGAGAAUUAAACUUAGUGUGAUUUUUUAGUAUAAUAA